GCCGUGGGCAGAGGGGACGCGCCGCCGGGACGGCUGGGCUCGCGGGGGCUCGUCGGGCGCGGUCGGUCGGUCGGGGCUGGGUCCGGCUGCCGCGCUCCCCCUGCGUGUCCGGGAGUCGGGGCGCGCGGCCGGGGUCCCGGGCGGCGGGGCUCUUCUCUCCACAGCGCGGCGGACGCGGAUCGCGCGCUGGGUUCAGUGGUUCUUAACAGUUCAACAGUUCUGUAGCGCAAUUGUGAAAUGUUUAGGACCACUAGACCCGGCGGGCCUGCACGCAGCGACAGCAAUGGAGCGGCCCACGCGCGGCCCGGGAGCAGGGCCAGGGGCGGGGGCGCCUGGAAGGAGCCCUCGGACCCUGCGCCGCGCACCCUAGGCCGGCCCAGGCCCUCUGCACCUCGCCCGGCAGACCCCGAGGCCGGGCCUGGGGCCGAGCGCAGCGGGAGGCGGCGGGGCGUGAUGGCGCCGAGCGCUGGGAAGCGCUGGGAAGGGCUGGGAAGCGCUGGGAAGGGCUGGGAAGCCCUGGCAAGCGCUGGGAAGCCCUGGGAAGCGCUGGGAAGGGCUGGGAAGCGCUGGGAAGGGCUGGGAAGCGCUGGGAAGCCCUGGGAAGGGCUGGGGUUUGGGCGCGCCGGGCCCACGCUCCUGGCGUGCUGCCUGCGCGGAGAAGCCACUGCUGUCCUCCUGUAGCCCGAGCACCCCCCCACCCCUCCGACACUUAAAACUCCGUCGGCUUCCCAGCCGGGCUCUGGCGGUGGCCGCGCGGGGUGAAGGAGCUCUCCUAGCCCUCGGCCUCCCGGUCCUGGUGACGCGGCGGCCGCGCCCUCCGGGGCGGGAGUGGGUCGUGGGCUCGGGCUCGCUGGGGGAGAGCCGGAGCCUUCGCUUCGAAGGGGCCCGUGCGGGGCGAUUGCAGGCGCCCAGUGACAGCGUGUGGAAUGAAUGAAGGACCCCCAGGGACAGAAACGUGUGGGGGGGAGGAAGUUGGGAGACCACGCCCCAGGUAGGGGAACAAGCCCGCGGACUCGGUGGGCCGGACCGCCUUGGCCAGGGCGUCCCCUCUGCAGUGCGUCCUGGGAGCACGCGCCCGAUAGGUCCCGUGGGAGCCGCGGGAGCCCGCGUAUCUCUGGGAGGGGCUGGCCCCAGGGGGGGCUCAGCAAAGUGUCACCCCAUUCCCACCUCUCGCCAGGGCGAGGCGUCCCUCCCGGAGCAUGAGACUGACCUGCUCGGGAGCCUGCCUGGCCCGCGGGUGUGGCGCCACCCUCUGGGGAGGGAAGGUCCCUGCCUCCUUGGCCCCGGGAGUAGGGGAGCCGAAGGGCAGCCUGGAUGGCGGGUCGGACAGGCCUGGGUUUGAGGCCCACCGGAGGCGCGCGGACCAGCUGGAUGGCUUUAGGCCAGUCACCAGCUCUAAACUCUACUGCAGCCGCCUCUCGGGAGCACAGCAGGGCCAGGCCGGGUCCACGGUGCUCUGAGGGGUCCAGAGGGUCUCAGCAAGCAUGCUGACGCUGUCUCCUGAUCGCCAGUGGCAGCUUCAUUCGACAGUGUUCUUCCUGCCCCGCCUGCUCUGCCCCCAGCAGCCCGGAGGCAGGGGCUCCCCUGCUGGGGUCCAGGUGAGGGGUCAUGGGGUGUUGCCUAGUCUGUGGUCUGGAAUCAUUUUGUACGAUGUGAAUAUAUACAUUACAGACUGAUGAAAAUAAACAUAUGUUCUAAAGCA